UCAUAGUGAAAUCUUUUCAAAGACUUAUAUUUAGGAACGGAGGGAGUAGAACCCAGAGGUGACAAAAUUCGUGCUUAUCAUGGGUGGCAAAAUUUUACACCGGAACAGGGAGCCGCGGCCGAUCCUCUUUAUUUGAAGCAGCUGGAAGGUACACAUAGUAGUACUACUACGCUAUUUUACAGCGGAUCUCGGUCACCGUCGUGGCCGGCGGCCCUGCGCGCGCUUACUCACACGAAGGGAGGCGGGACGUCGGACGGCUGCGGAGGCACCACCUCGGGCGGGGUGCGCGGUGGGUCCACCUCCGGCGGCGGCGUCGGGAUCACGUCGGGGUUCGGCGGCACGGCCGGGAUCUCCGGCCUCGGCGGCGAUGGCACGAACGGCCCCGGCUGCUCCGGGCUGGGAGGCGUGCCCGGCACCGGCGCGCCAGGCGUCGGCACGUCCACGCCCGGGGGCGCGUUGAACUCCGGCGGCAUGUCGAUGCCUGGCAUCUCCUGCGGCGGCCGCGCCGUGCCCGGCAUCUCCUCGGGCGGCUGGGCCGUGGCCGGCACCUCCUCGGGCGACGGCACCGCGGGGAACCCCGGCGGCGUCGGCCCCGGAGGAAACCCCGGCGGCGUGGUGGAGCUGCACCGGACGCCCACGCGCCGACCGGAGCACGCCGUGCCGCGCAGGCGAGAGCGCAGGCCGCUGCUCCCCGCGGCCGCGGCCGCCGUGCACCAGGCCGGCAGCGACGCCCUCGCGAGGCUCACCGACAUCAUCACCUGCUGCCCGGAGCUAAGCCAAGGUCGAUGAUACAGUCUACAAAAGCAAAAGCGGGUGCGCAACUGCGCAAGGAGAGAACCACGGAGCAGAGGCAAGCGGCAGUGCCGACGCACUUUAACGGCCUUCACGUCGACACGCGUUCGGCGAGGAGACGCGCGGCGCGCGCCAUGGCACGUGGCCCGCGCGCCGCGUGCCGGGACGAGGCGGACACGUGCCCGCAUGGCCGGACGAUCGAGUUUCGGUACUGCCUGGUCGGUCGACUCCAAGCUUAUCACUUUUAGAGAGUGAUAAAAAUUGAUCCCCGGAGAAUGAUCUUGAAGUAAAAGUAAUAGUAAUAAUCUUGGAGCAGAUCAGUGAGUAGAUGGAUUUACAUUUACAUAGAUAGAAAAGGCAAGGCCAGCACUAGUUGUAGUAAUUCAGGAGAGUCAAUGGCCCAACGCUACUGGACUGGAGUCUUGAGGAAGGCGACGACGUGCGCUGCAGAGCUCUCUCUACGUCGGCAAUGGAGCUGGAGCUGCUGCUGCAUCGACUACACAAGACGAACGAACAAAAUUCUUCUCUUGCCGAAAGGAAAAAACAGAGAGCUCCACGGCACAUCGGCCUCCAUUAUUUCGCAGCGCCAUGCGGUGUUCGUCUGUCUGGACUGGACCGGACCGGAGUCACCUCGAUGAGUGAUGAUUAAGCCGUCGGCGAGACGAGGAUCGGACUCAGGAGGAGAGCAGGCGGCGGAGCUGGAGGAGGUGCUCCUCGUUGGAGAUGUUGAGGGAGAGGCGCAGGUUGGUGAGCAGCGACUCCUGCUCCCACGUCAGCGGCCCGGACGCGUGCAGCGCGCGCACCGUCGACCGGUACGCCUCCAGCUCCAGCUCGUGCACGUCCACGCCCGCCGGCCCGCCGUCGCUCAGCGCGCCGUCCGAGUCCGACGACGACCACGCGGCGCGCGGGGAGGCGGCCACCACGCGCGACUGGGCGUCGCCGCGCCCCACGGAGCAG
rnacentral:lncRNA from 1 species